rnacentral:rRNA from 1 species
GCUUGUCUCAAAGAUUAAGCCAUGCAUGUGUAUGCACAAGCCGUAAAUGGUGAAACCGGGAAUGGCCCAUUACAACCACCCCCGGUUACUUGAUCUUGAUUAUCCUACUCGGAUAACUGUGGCAAUUCUAGAGCUAAUACGCGCAAUAAGGCUCGGACCUUACGGGACGAGCGCAUUUAUUAGACCAAAACCAAUCGGGCUUCGGCCUGAGCUUUGGUGACUCUGAAUAACUAAGCUGAUCGCACGGUCUUAGUACCGGCGACGCAUCUUUCAAGUGUCUGCCUUAUCAACUUUCGAUGGUAGUUUAUGUGCCUACCAUGGUUGUAACGGGUAACGGAGAAUAAGGGUUCGACUCCGGAGAGGGAGCCUGAGAAACGGCUACCACAUCCAAGGAAGGCAGCAGGCGCGCAAAUUACCCACUCUCGGCACGAGGAGGUAGUGACGAAAAAUAACGAGGCGGUUCUCUUAGAGGCCCGCUAUCGGAAUGGGUACAAUUUAACCCUUAAC